CCUACGGGAGGCAGCAGUGGGGAAUAUUGGGCAAUGGGCGCAAGCCUGAUCCAGCAACGCCGCGUGAAGGAAGAAGGCUUUCGGGUCGUAAACUUCUUUUCGCAGGGACGAAGCAAGUGACGGUACCUGAGGAAGAAGCCACGGCUAACUACGGACCAGCAGCCGCGGUACUACGUAGGGGGAAAGCGUUAGCCGGAUUUACUGGGAGUAAAGGGUGUGUAGGCGGGAAAGCAAGUCAGAUGUGAAAACCAUGGGCUCAACCUGUGGCCUGCAUUUGAAACUGUUUUUCUUGAGUACUGGGGAGGCAGGCGGAAUUCCUAGUGUAGCGGUGAAAUGCGUAGAUAUUAGGAGGAACACCAGUGGCGAAGGCGGUCUGCUGGACAGCAACUGACGCUGAGGCGCGAAAGCGUGGGGAGCAAACAGGAUUAGAUACCCCUGUAGUC
rnacentral:rRNA from 1 species